GAGCGCAACCCUUGUCCUUAGUUACCAGCACGUUAUGUGGGCGACUCUAAGGAGGACCGCCGGUGACAAACCGGAGGAAGGUGGGGAUGACGUCAAGUCAUCAUGGCCCUUACGGCCUGGGCUACACACGUGCUACAAUGGUCGGUACAAAGGGUUGCCAAGCCGCGAGGUGGAGCUAAUCCCAUAAAACCGAUCGUAGUCCGGAUCGCAGUCUGCAACUCGACUGCGUGAAGUCGGAAUCGCUAGUAAUCGUGAAUCAGAAUGUCACGGUGAAUACGUUCCCGGGCCUU
rnacentral:rRNA from 1 species